rnacentral:lncRNA from 1 species
AUUAUCAGAAAAAAUACAAUUGACAUAGAAGUUUUAAAGAAAAUGCUUAUGCCAAUAAAUAAUAAUAAUUUGAAAUCAAAAUGACUUAGAUAAAAUGAUUUUUAAAAUAAUAUAAAGUAGGACUACAUAAAUCCUUUAAUUUUGGUUUGUGAAAUAUUAUUACAACAUAUAUAUAUAUAUAUAUAUAUAUAUAUAUAUAAACACAAAUAUUUAAAUUGCAGAUCUACAAAAUAUUUUUGAUGUUACAAUAUUAUCUAAUAACUGUAGUUAUCAAGUUGGAGGAAAAAGAGCUGAUCAUUUUUUAAAAAGAGUUAAUAAAUAACGAAAAAUAUAUGUUUAUUGAAAUUUAUCAAAUUUCAUUUUUUUUUACAUAUCCAAAAUCUAAAAACUCAUCACAAACCAAAACCAUAGAUUGAGCUCACUAACAUUUACAAAACUUAUACAAAUAAUAGAAACAUGUAAAAUAAACUUGUAAGCUCAAGCAAUUCUUAUUAAAAUUUUUAGUUUCUAUUUUUAUUCCCCAAAAAAAAAAAAAAAAAAAAAAUCAUAAGUAAAAUUAAAAAAAAUAUUACAAGUUGAAGAACAAAAACACUGAGUUACAAUGGGGUGUUGCUAUUAUACUUCAUGUAACUUCCAUAUUAAUUAGUGCCUCAACAAGAGAUCCAAGGAAAGAGUGGGCAUUUAAUGUGGUCUUUUCCUUAACCUUUUUUGGGAAAAUAGUAUCCAUGGAGCUAUGGAUUGAUUUAAAUACCUUUAGAAUGAAGCAACUGAAGUUAAAUAGAUAAUUAUUUAAAAUGAUAUGUAUAAUUUUUUUUAUAUGUUCAGAAACUUACACGAGUGUAAUUUUUUAGAAUUGUUUAUCAAUCCAUUUUUAAAUUCAAAUUUAUCAAAAAUACACACACACACACACACACACACAUGUAUAUAUAUAUAUAUAUAUAUAUAAAACCAAAUAAAAAGUAUUUAUCAAACAUUGACUGCAAUUUCAUGUCAUAGUCUACAAAGCUUCCAAGAAGCAACACGCCAAUCUUUACAGUUGUAACAAAUAAUUAAACAAUUAUUCCUUUACUUUUAUUUUUUUUGGAUUCUGGAAAACAUACCACUCUUUUACAUUUGUAUAUCUUAUUAUUCAAAUGAUUACUUUCAGCAAUUCUUUUGAUAAAUUAUUAACAUUUCACAUAUUAAAGUUAUUGUAAAUUUCAUUAGUUCUUAUUGAUUCAAAUUCAUUUUUUAAUUUCUGAAGAAAACCAUUAACCUUUAAAAAAAAAAAAAAAAAAAAAAAAGGGUUUAAGAAAUUCACCCAAAGGAUUUAUGCAAGAAGCAUAUUUCAAAACCAAAACAAAAUUCUAGGCUUGUUUUACACAGCUUACAACAGGAUUUGUAAUCCAAAUGUAACAGUGUUGGAAGGAGUUCACUUGAGACACAUCAGUUCCUGAGCUGCACAUUUAGCAAAGAAUAUGCCACAGCUCACUCUACUUCGCCAUGUUUGUGUAGCUCGGCACUCAACUCGACAACACGCAUAACCACGAACCAGUAUCAACAACAACA